UCGAAGAAAAUCAUAAUAAAAAUAAAAAUAAAAAAACAUAGAACAGAGCCGCGUGUGUCAAACUGCGUUUCGUUCUAUUUUCACCGAAACGAGAUCGAUACACGAAUGUCCAUGCACCGUGGCUGCAGUACGCUCGGAUGACCGCAUAACCGCAUAGUAAUGCACACUAUUACACGGGGUAACGCAAAAAUAGUGGUGCAUAGUCGCGUUCUAUCGAUCACACACCGUUACCGUUAUUGCACUUUCGCUGAAGAAAGAUCAAACCUUGGUGGAAGAUUUCCUCGAACGAAAGAGAAAGAAAAAAAUAGGAUUAUUCCCUCCGCUUUGUCUCUCGUAUCUUAUCCUCUUUUUUUUUUCGAUUUAUUUUCUAUUUAUUUGACAUUAGUUU